rnacentral:rRNA from 1 species
CUACGGGGCGCAGCAGUGGGGAAUAUUGGACAAUGGGGGAAACCCUGAUCCAGCAAUGCCGCGUGUGCGAUGAAGGCCUGAGGGUUGUAAAGCACUUUCGGUGGGGAAGAAAUGCUCAAAUAUAAUACAUUUGAGAGUUGACGUUACCCAUAGAAGAAGCACCGGCAAACUCUGUGCCAGCAGCCGCGGUAAUACAGAGGGUGCAAGCGUUAAUCGGAGUUACUGGGCGUAAAGGGCGCGUAGGCUGAUGUUUAAGUUAAUUGUGAAAUCCCUGGGCUUAACCUAGGAAUUGCAGUUGAUACUGGACGUCUAGAGUAUGGUAGAGGAAAGUGGAAUUCUCGGUGUAGUGGUUAAAUACGUAGAUAUCGAGAGGAACACCAGUGGCGAAGGCGACUUUCUGGACCAAUACUGACGCUGAGGCGCGAAAGCGUGGGGAGCAAACAGGAUUAGAUACCCCGGUAGUC